UACAGAGGUCUCAAGCGUUGUUCGGAAUCACUGGGCGUAAAGGGUGCGUAGGUGGCGUGGUAAGUCAGAUGUGAAAGCCCGGGGCUCAACCUCGGAAUUGCAUCCGAUACUACCAUGCUAGAGUACUGAAGGGGUGACUAGAAUUCUAGGUGUAGCAGUGAAAUGCGUAGAUAUCUAGAGGAAUACCAAAGGCGAAGGCAGGUCACUGGGCAGUUACUGACACUGAGGCACGAAGGCCAGGGUAGCGAACGGG
rnacentral:rRNA from 1 species